GGCCUAACACAUGCAAGUCGAGGGGUAUAGGUAGCUUGCUAUCUAGAGACCGGCGCACGGGUGCGUAACGCGUAUGCAAUCUACCUUUUACAGGGGGAUAGCCCAGAGAAAUUUGGAUUAAUACCCCAUGGUAUUAUAGGAUGGCAUCAUCUUAUAAUUAAAGUCACAACGGUAAAAGAUGAGCAUGCGUCCCAUUAGCUAGUUGGUAAGGUAACGGCUUACCAAGGCUACGAUGGGUAGGGGUCCUGAGAGGGAGAUCCCCCACACUGGUACUGAGACACGGACCAGACUCCUACGGGAGGCAGCAGUGAGGAAUAUUGGACAAUGGGCGCAAGCCUGAUCCAGCCAUGCCGCGUGCAGGAUGAAGCAUCUAUGGUGUGUAAACUGCUUUUAUACGGGAAGAAACCCCGCCUCGUGAGGCGGACUGACGGUACCGUAAGAAUAAGGACC
rnacentral:rRNA from 1 species